CAAAAGGCUCUUUUAAGAGCCACUACAUACUCUCAAAAUUGCUGG
rnacentral:ncRNA from 1 species